rnacentral:rRNA from 1 species
GGCCAGACUCCUACGGGAGGCAGCAGUGGGGAAUAUUGCACAAUGGGGGAAACCCUGAUGCAGCGACGCCGCGUGAGUGAAGAAGUAUUUCGGUAUGUAAAGCUCUAUCAGCAGGGAAGAAAAUGACGGUACCUGACUAAGAAGCCCCGGCUAACUACGUGCCAGCAGCCGCGGUAAUACGUGGGGGGCAAGCGUUAUCCGGAUUUACUGGGUGUAAAGGGAGCGUAGACGGCAUGGCAAGUCAGAUGUGAAAGCCCGGGGCUCAACCCCGGGACUGCAUUUGAAACUGUCAGGCUGGAGUGCAGGAGAGGUAAGUGGAAUUCCUAGUGUAGCGGUGAAAUGCGUAGAUAUUAGGAGGAACACCAGUGGCGAAGGCGGCUUACUGGACUGUAACUGACGUUGAGGCUCGAAAGCGUGGGGAGCAAACAGGAUUAGAUACCCCAGUACC